CUGGCCUGGCUGAGGGGAGGUGGCGGGAGGGCGCUAUGGCGGAGGCCGGGCCACAGGCGCCGCCGCCCCCGGGCACCCCAAGCCGGCACGAGAAGAGUUUGGGACUUCUCACUACCAAGUUCGUGUCGCUUCUGCAGGAGGCAAAGGACGGCGUGCUUGACCUCAAGCUGGCAGCUGACACCCUAGCUGUUCGCCAGAAGCGGCGGAUUUAUGACAUUACUAACGUGCUGGAAGGUAUCGGGCUGAUCGAGAAAAAAUCCAAGAAUAGCAUCCAGUGGAAGGGCGUGGGGCCUGGCUGCAAUACCCGGGAGAUCGCGGACAAGCUGAUUGAGCUCAAGGCAGAGAUCGAGGAGCUGCAGCAGCGAGAGCAAGAACUAGACCAGCACAAGGUGUGGGUGCAGCAGAGCAUCCGGAACGUCACAGAGGAUGUGCAGAACAGCUGCUUGGCCUACGUGACUCAUGAGGACAUCUGCAGAUGCUUUGCUGGAGACACCCUCCUUGCCAUCCGGGCCCCAUCGGGCACCAGCCUGGAGGUGCCCAUCCCAGAGGGCCUCAAUGGGCAGAAGAAGUACCAGAUUCACCUGAAGAGCAUAAGUGGCCCCAUCGAGGUGCUGCUGGUGAACAAGGAGGCAUGGAGCUCACCACCUGUGGCGGUGCCUGUGCCGCCACCCGAAGAUCUGCUCCAGAGCCCACCUGCUGUCUCUACCCCUCCGCCUCUGCCCAAGCCUGCUCUGGUCCCGCCCCAGGAUGCCUCACGCCCAAGCAGUCCCCAGGUGACCACCCCCAACCCUGUUCCCGGCAGCACCGAAGCCCAGGGGGUGGCCGGUCCAGCCGCUGAGCUCACAGUGAGUGCUAUCCCUGGAACCGAUAACAAGGACGGUGGUGAGCUCAGCUCCCUCCCGCUAGGCCUGACAGCACUGGACACCCGGCCGCUGCAGUCCUCUGCCCUGUUGGACAGCAGCAGCAGCAGCAGCAGCAAUAGCAGUUCAUCCGGACCCAACCCUUCUACCUCCUUUGAGCCCAUCAAGGCAGACCCCACAGGUGGACUCAUUCUCCUCGGCCCUCAAGCACUGCUAAGUCUCUCCUCGUUAAAUGACACUUCAUCGCCUGUGUCUCUCUCUUUCUUCUUCCCUAUAUCCUCUGUGUUUGGACUCCUUGAUAAAGUCAUCUCCAUUCUACUCCAUACCCUGGUCUCCUAGUCAGCCUUUGGGUUGCGGACCCCAAACCCCCACCCCAUGCUACACCAGUGCUACUCUUGAUAAGUUGCCCAGCUCUGACAGCCAGCUCCAGCAGGUUUCUGGCCAAUUUGCUCUGGUGCUCUCCUGCUCUGUGUUGAUGCUCUUUUUUCUCCUUUGGCAUUAAUGGUGUCAGCUCUUGGUUCUUCUCCCUUAAUUGGCUUCUUCUUCUGACCUCUCCCUGGCAUGCCUUUAAAUCUGGUUUCCCAGAUCUCUGGCUCAUUCCAAACCUGUGGAGGGCCCCAGUUCUGGGUAGAUGAAUCCCAGCCUCCAUCCUUUUGCCUGAACUUUACCUCUUGUGUCCACGUGCCUUCCUCUGCACAUCCAGUGGGCACUUCAUUCCCAUGUGUCCUCAACUGAAACUUGGAUUUCCACCUUUGUGCAUACCCGACCACUGGCCCUAGUCACCCAGGCCUGACACCUGGGGUCAACUCCAGCUCUAUCUCCUCCUCCCUCCUUGUCCUGCUCCCCACCCCACAUCAGCUUAGUGAGUUCUCUUGCAGACAUCCCCCAUGGAUGGCCUCAUGUAUCCUAACACUCAGGAUCACUGCCAGCCACCUCUAUCCUAAGUUCUUCAGCAUCUUCUUCACCCCGACUGACAAAAAUCUGUUUGAAAUACAGCCUGACUGGCAUUUCUCUGUUUACAAAAUUACCUUUAACAGCUCCCAAAGGUCUGCUGGAUAAAACCAGAGCCCCUAAACCUGGCAUAUGAAAUCCCUCGUGAUCCAGCUCCAGCACUCCUUUCCUCUGUUUCCCAUGUGUGUCCUCCUGGUUAGACCUUUGUAGCAGUGUCAUCACCCUGUAGCACUAUCCCCUAUUUAAGAGUGCCUCCUCCUCUGCCAGGUGACUGGCCUGGGCUGUGGUCUCUGAGCCUGGCACCAAGUAGGUGCUUAGCAAGGGCAGGGAUGGACAGGACAUCCUCUGUCAGACAGGGCAUCCUGCAUCAGACAGAGUAUCCUCCAUCAGACAGGGUAUGUACUCUGAGCUUAGAAAUGGAGAGGGUGUGCUGCCCUUCUGCCAAACCACUGAGUUAGAAGGGCUGUACCGAUUACCUACAGUGGUCCUUUGGCACCGAGGAAUUCAGGUCUGGUAGGGGAGACUUGCAGACAGUGCCGGCUUGGUCUGGUGCAGGGCCUACAUCUCAGCUGUGUGGAGCCCCUGGGUGGGUGAUAAAGGAUCUGGGGAAGUGGGGGCUAGAGUGGGACCAGGCUGGAUCUCUGUGCCCUUGAGCAUGGCUUUCUUGUCUUUCAGUUCUGGAGCUCCCCAAAGAGCUGUCAGAAAUCUUUGAUCCCACUCGAGAGUGCAUGAGCUCAGAGCUCUUGGAGGAGCUGAUGUCCUCAGAAGUGUUUGCACCCCUCCUCCGCCUUUCUCCACCCCCUGGAGACCACGAUUACAUCUACA